AUUAAAAACAAACACAUUUGAAGUAAAGAACAAAACUAAACAAGACAAAGAAAAGAUUAAUAACAAUAAUUAUAAUAAUUAAAAAGUAAAAACGUCAUGGACUCUGGGAGCAGCUUCAGGUUGGACUGGUUUCACAUAUUUUAUACUAGGAAGGAAUGAGGGCGUGGAAGAGUUCUCACCUCACACACACACACAAACACACACACACACAGUCACAGAGCAGACACACACACACACACACUGAUGAAGAACUGACCAACAUCUGAAACAGGAAGGACAGCAGACCUCCAGGAACAAACUCUGCAGAGAAAAGUUUUACAGUCUAUCCAGUAAAACACACCAAAACAGCAAGACGCUUCCUGUUCCUUUAUUGGAGACUGUUCACUAUCUGUAAAGCUAGUUCACACACACUAGUACAGGCAGAAUAGUAAAAAGACAUGAUGGAAGGCCAACCAAAAGUCGAAAAAGAUGACAACACUGCUGUCCCUGACCACCAAAGUACAGUCAGCAAUGCUGGUGACCUGUGGGUCACCAGCUGUUCCAACAGCUCACGUGCCAGUCAGCGGUCCUGUGCCAGUCAACGGUCCAAUGCAAGCGUUUUGGCUGCAAAAGCACGUGCUAAAGCAGCAGCCGCACAAGCGCAAGUAUCAUACGCUGAAAGAGAAGCAGAGGUGAUAAAGGAACAAGCCCACAUUGAAGCUGAAGCUACAAAAAAGAAAGCAGAGCUCAGCGCUGACCUCCUCAAACUGCGUCUACAACGUGAAGCUGCAGCCGCCAAUGCCGAAGCAGAGGUCCUAGAGGCAGCAGCCGAGGAUGAAGGAGGAGAUACCUGGUUUCCAACAAAUAGCAACAACGUCGUCCAGAACAGCUCAUCAUCUCAUGACGUGGAGAUGGAUCAGGACACGGUGAAGGAACAACAUGAGAUCCAGACUGAAGAUCAGAAGAAGCAGCUCACAUCUGGACCUGGACCCAGCUGUGUGUCCUUUAGAAGUGACCAGUCUAUGAUUAAACCCAUUAACUUCAAAGGAGGUCCAUCUACUGACCCACAUGGCCUUGUCGGUUCCCCCUUCAUUGUUCGGUCAGCCUUCGUCUCAGCAUCAGCUGGUGUCGGCAAUCAUCUUGGAUCCAUGUUGCCUGCUCCGCGACCUUCACUGCCGUGUGGGUCGUUCGUUUCCGGUCGGCUGAAAGAAAAGCAGGAAGUAUUAAUUCGAUUUUCUUUUCCUGGAGUAAGAAGAAGCAUAGCUGGAGUUGCAGUGAUUAUCUGUGGUACAUCUACUUACCUGGUGAGAAGCAACAAUUUGAGAACCACUGUUUACAAGGACAUGCAAGUCGGACGGAGAAGGACAUGCAAGUCAGACGGAGAAGGACAUGCAAGUCAGACGGAGAAGGACAUGCAAGUCAGACGGAGAAGGACAUGCAAGUCAGACGGAGAAGGACAUGCAAGUCAGACGGAGAAGUGUGGAGUGUGAUUACAUGUCUUCUCAAGAUGAAUACAUACAAUUGGGAGACAUGGAGAUGUGAGAAAGCUAAAUGAGUUUAACCAAAUAAAUAAAUAAUGUUAUUUAUUUAUUUAAAUUGU
ensembl:lncRNA